CGAUCAGAUACCGCCCUAGUUCUGACCGUAAACGAUGCCAACUAGCGAUCCGCCAGUCGACUCAUCGCUCUGGUGGGGAGUUUCCCGGAAACGAAAGUCUUCCGGUUCCGGGGGAAGUAUGGUUGCAAAGCUGAAACUUAAAGGAAUUGACGGAAGGGCACCACCAGGAGUGGAGCCUGCGGCUUAAUUUGACUCAACACGGGGAAACUCACCCGGCCCGGACACCGUGAGGAUUGACAGAUUGAUAGCUUUUUCAUGAUUCGGUGGAUGGUGGUGCAUGGCCGUUCUUAGUUCGUGGAGCGAUUUGUCUGGUUUAUUCCGAUAACGAGCGAGACUCUGGCCUACUAAAUAGUUGACGCAUUGCCACUGUGCGCACAACUUCUUAGAGGGAUUUUCGGUGUUUUCAACCGCACGAAAUUGAGCAAUAACAGGUCUAUGAUGCCCUUAGAUGUCCGGGGCUGCACGCGCGCUACACUGGCAAACGCAACGUGCCUGUCCUGCCCCGAAAGGAGCGGGUAAACCCCUGAAAUUUUGCCGUGAUUGGGAUCGGACAUUGCAACUAUUGUCCGUGAACGAGGAAUUCCUUGUAGGGGCGAGUCAUCAACUCGUCCCGAAUACGUCCCUGCCCUUUGUA
rnacentral:rRNA from 1 species